GUGCUCAGUUCAAAUGUACACUUACUAAAAUUGGAACUAUACAGAGAAGGUAAACACAACCCUUGUGCAAGAAUGACACACGAAUUCAUGAAGCAUUCUGUAUUUUG